GAUGAACGCUGGCGGCGUGCCUAAUACAUGCAAGUCGAGCGAAUGGAUUAAGAGCUUGCUCUUAUGAAGUUAGCGGCGGACGGGUGAGUAACACGUGGGUAACCUGCCCAUAAGACUGGGAUAACUCCGGGAAACCGGGGCUAAUACCGGAUAACAUUUUGAACCGCAUGGUUCGAAAUUGAAAGGCGGCUUCGGCUGUCACUUAUGGAUGGACCCGCGUCGCAUUAGCUAGUUGGUGAGGUAACGGCUCACCAAGGCAACGAUGCGUAGCCGACCUGGGAGGGUGAUCGGCACCACUGGGACGGGGACACGGCCCAGACUCCUACGGGAGGCAGCAGUAGGGAAUCUUCCGCAAUGGACGAAAGUCUGACGGAGCAACGCCGCGUGAGUGAUGAAGGCUUUCGGGUCGUAAAACUCUGUUGUUAGGGAAGAACAAGUGCUAGUUGAAUAAGCUGGCACCUUGACGGUACCUAACCAGAAAGCCACGGCUAACUACGUGCCAGCCGCCGCGGUAA
rnacentral:rRNA from 1 species